ACGAGCUAUAAGACAGACCCCACACGACGAGCUAUAAGACAGACCCCACACGACGAGCUAUAAGACAGACCCCACACGACGAGCUAUAAGACAGACCCCCACACGACGAGCUAUAAGACAGACCCCACACGACGAGCUAUAAGACAGACACCCACACUACGAGCUAUAAGACAGACCCCACACGACGAGCUAUAAGACAGGGACAGGGUUUAUGAGGGGGCUUAUAUGGUAACAAUAUCAGACAAAGAGGGUGUGUGUGUGUGUGCGUGUGUGUGUGUGUGUGUGUGUGUUUGUGUGAAUGCGUGAAUGUGUGUGUGUCAGACCUGGUUUCAAAUACAAUUUCAAAUAUCUCAAUUACUUUCACAUACACGUACUUUCGAAGUAAGUAUUCAGAUAUAUUUUAUUUGAAAAGACAAGUAGUUGAAUAUUAUAUUGUAUUUGGAAAUAAACUUGGAAAGUAUUUGAUAAUACUCCAACACACUCCCAUGCAUUUAACUCAAAUACAAUUUGGUAAACUAUUUGCUUUUUCCAAAUAACUAUUAAAAUACUCAAAUAAAAGUACUUAUUUUGGACUGUGUAUUAGAAAAUACUCAAAUACACAGGAAAAGUAUUUUAAAUACCCGAUACUCAUGUAUUUGAACACAGGUCGUGUGUGUGUGUGUGUGUGUGUGUGUGUGUGUGUGUGUGUGUGUGUGUGUGUGUGUGUGUGUGUGUGUGUGUGUGUGUGUGUGUGUGUGUGUGUGUGUGUGUGUGUGUGUGUGUGUGUGUGUGGUGUGUGUGUGUGUGUGUGUGUGUGUGUGUGUGUGUGUGUGUGUGUGUGUGUGUGUGUGUGUGUGUGUGUGUGUGUGUGUUAGGAGGGUGGUGGGGGAGGGAAUGAGAGAGGACAGUAGGAAAGCAGGAGGAUGAGGAAGGAAACAAUCGACGUUAAGAGCAUUGGGACAAAGUCCUACAUUUGCGUCUGUUGUUGUUGAUGAUGAUGAUGUGCCUUUGUUUACCUUCUCUGGCAUCACAGAGUGUGUUUUUUUUUUAAAUGUUAUUAUUGUGAUGAAGAUUCAUGUUCACGUGGUUGGUUUUGUGUUUGUCUCUUUAAUCAGUUUCUUAACUCUUGAGAGAAUAUGUGGCUGCCUAUUUUGGAUGUGAUGUAAACUCUCCGCUGUGUUAAGAUGAUCCUCAUGUUUUAAUAGUCAUGGAUUCUUCUCCAUUCUGUGGGUCAAACUGUUUUUAUUUCAUAUAUUGUAUCCCGGUGACAUCACAAACUGCCAUAACUUCACCUAAUAUGUCUUAUAGAGUACAAUUACAGUACUAUUGAAAUACUUGUUGUAAUAACAAACACCAUGGUAGACGAACAGUUAGGUGAUUGCAGAAUUUCUGGUACAGUACUACCAUUCCGUUCUGUCCAGCUGAGCUAACGUGUGUGUGUGUGUUUUAGUAAAGGCUGGCCGUUGAUUCAGGUGCUAAAACAGUGUUUCUGUUCCUUGUUUUCAUGUGUACAAACUCUUCCUGUAUUCCCUGAUGUCUAAGCCAAUCACAGUACAGAACUACACAUCCGUAGUCAUUCAGCUGCCCACUCACAACACUGAAGUCUCCUAUGCAACAUUUACCUAAAUGUUAGUACCACUAUCAGGUAGCUCACAUUGUUUGAGGUUUCCCCCCCCCCAAUAGCUUGUGUUCUAAUUCCGCUAUGCUCUGCACACACAUCUCACUUGCCACGGCUUCGGCUGUGUGUGUGUGUGUGUGUGUGUGUGUGUGUGUGUGUGUGUGUGUGUGUGUGUGUGUGUGUGUGUGUGUGUGUGUGUGUGUGCGUGUGUGCGUGUGUGUGAGAGAGAGAGAGAGUGGUGUACGUGUGUGUGUUUGCAACAGUUGAGUUUGUUUACUAUCUGAUGCCUCUGUUAAUGAUGAUGCUGUUAAGGACAGUUUGAAUAAAUGCACAUUCCAACCCUUUUACAA
rnacentral:lncRNA from 1 species